UUCGUUGACGAGUUUAAAAUGGUUGGAACUUUAUGUUCAACCCAUUAAGGGCCCACCUCUGCACUCCGAGUCUUCGUCUUCUCAAUAGCCCUUUUUUUUUGUGUCGGAUGAGUUUUCCUCCGCCGAAUGUUACUGCUUGAAAUUGAUUCAAGUCUUAAAGCGAUUACAUUAACAUCCUCCGCCACUAAACCCAUUACGUCGACUUCAAUGUUCCCUCUCCAACACCGAUUUCAUUAUCCGUAAUUUUUCAUAGUAUAAAUAAGUCAUGAAGCCCUCUCAGCACCGUAUAAGAUCCUGAUAAGUUCUUGAUAUAAAUUCCAGAAACCGUUUCCAUUUUUCUGUAACAGUACUCUCAGUUUAUUCGCAUUCUCCUUCUCAUGUGUACUCUUAAGACUCCUUUCUUUCAUUGACCUCGACUUUGAUUAUCCAUUUUUUUUCCUCUUCAAAACUGACUUCCUAUUGACAUAAAUCUCAUAUCAUUUUGUUUCUUAUGGACCAGAUCAAACCAUUCAGUGCCGUCAUUGAUUAAAAUUGCUUCUAUCGUUCGUUCGUCGAACACGACAGCGGCCGCAUUAAGCAUACGGCAUCAGGUUUUUCGGAGUAAACCAAAUUAAUUAAGUACUUUGAAAUGGGUUGUCCAAAUUAGGAAGAACCAAAUCCGGUUGGCUUUACAGGGACUUAUUGCCUAGGUGUGCAGUGAGCAUGUGAAGGAAAGCCGAAAGCUGCGUUUCCAGUGGUCAAAAUGCAGAACAAACAAGGACAAUUAGCUGAGAUUUUAAUUCCAAUAAGAUGCCACCACAGGCUGAUGACAUCUCUUGCUACUGAAUGAUACUUGCAUGUACCCCUUAUUUAGAUGGAGUUUGAUGUAACAGUGCGGUACAUCUCAACUCUGCUUCUGUUAGACUGUUACAACCUAAGGAGCAAUGCAAGUGGUGUAGUGAUAAACAUGCUGUAAACAAACUGAGUUUUUCCAUAAAGAUGUUGUGGAAGUUUCAUUAGAGCACAAAGGCAAUGUAAAAAAAAUUCUACUUCUCUAUUUGAUUAUCCAUCGAUCCGACAAAAAUGUAAACCAAAAAGUUUGUUUCUUUAUGACUCGGUAGCCCAAUGGUGAGAUAGAAGAUAAGUCACAGUGUCACACCACUGUCUGUGAUAGCAGCUGGUUCUCUACCACGCUUAGAGUUGUUGAUCAAGGUUUGACAACAACUUCUAAAUCCAUAGAGUUGUGUUGUUUAUAGGUUGUUAUAACAUCUUAAAUCUGUGCUAACAAAAUGUGUGGUUCUUAAUCCUAAUUAUAGGCAUGUGUCGAUACUAAUGUCUUUGCAGGUGGUGCAACUGAGAUAUUGGAAACCUCGACUUAAUCAACUGUUCACGUAAAGCUAGGAUGUUCCAUAUAAAAAACUAGGUAAAAACAAUUUGGAAACAAGAUAACACAAUUUUUAGUAAUUUUGCUAUUGUAAACUUGAAAAUUUCAUGAAGGAAAUAGUUCAUUUGAGGUUUCAGCUGCUAGAAACGAUAUAAAGGUACUUCAACUUCUAUUCAUGCUGACGAAAAAAACUAAUCUAUUUCGAAUUGGACAGGUAAAUGGAGAAAAAUGUGGCCUCCAGUAUGCGCAUAUUUAAUGCAUAGAAUAUUGUUCUUGAUCUUUUAUUGUAGCCUAAGGUUGGUUACAAACACCUACGUAAUGGGUCUUCUACAUAAAUCAAGUAUAUAUAUAUGUGUGUGUGUGUAGCAUGUUCAUAUUUGUAAAGUUGGUGGCAGAUUCUAAACCGAAUGAUAAUCAUUGUUCCUCACGAUUAAUUAUUAAAUUUACAUUUAAUUUUCUCACUAAUACUUUGAUAGUGUAACUUUUUGUUUUAUUCUUCUGUUUUUGCUAAACAAUGUAAUUUAUUAAAAUUGUUAAGAAAUCAUCAGAAAUCUAAAAACACAACAGUUAUGCUUUAAAACAAAUGCACAUGAGAAAUUAAACAAGGAAUUAAGAAAACCAAUAUGUAAACAUAUUUAGGAACUAGAUGUAACCAAAGAUAUAAAACCCCGCGCGGAAUAAAACAUCAUUUGUUGUUACAUAAUAUAUACUAUUUAUUAUUUAUGGCAUUAUUGAAACUAUUUAUAUAUUGUUUUAAGAUUUAACUUUUUAUAAUUUUAUUACAUUACAUUUGAUUUUCAAUUGAUUUAGUUUGGGAUGGGUGUAUUAAUUUAUUAUCGUGAAAAAUUAGUUAUUGUAAUAAUAUUAAAAUCUGAUAAUCUUAGAAAUAAAAUAUUAGUUUACUUUACCUUAGAUUUUCUUCAACUAUAUAAAAUUGAAACAGAAAUCAAAUAAAAAAAAUUAAAUCAUUAUUUUUUUCUUAAUUUUUUAAUUUAAUAAUUUUGUGUUCUCUAACAAAAAAACGUUAAUGGUCUUUUCAACUCAAACCAACAAAAUUUAAUAAAGUUUACAAUAUACUUUUAGAAUAAAAAUAGAUUACAUUUAUUUUUUUCAGUACAAAGUAAAUUUUAUAAAAUUAAUUAUUUUAAUAUAAAAUAGUUUUAGUGUAAUUUUACCCGCCCGUAAGGCGGGCAAACCCCUAGU